rnacentral:rRNA from 1 species
CCUACGGGAGGCAGCAGUGAGGAAUAUUGGUCAAUGGACGAGAGUCUGAACCAGCCAAGUAGCGUGAAGGAUGACUGCCCUCUGGGUUGUAAACUUCUUUUAUAUGGGAAUAAAACAGGGUAUGCAUACCCUCUUGUAUGUACCAUAUGAAUAAGGAUCGGCUAACUCCGUGCCAGCAGCCGCGGUAAUACGGAGGAUCCGAGCGUUAUCCGGAUUUAGUGGGUUUAAAGGGAGCGUAGGUGGAUUGUUAAGUCAGUUGUGAAAGUUUGCGGCUCAACCGUAAAAUUGCAAUUGAAACUGGCAGUCUUGAGUACAGUAGAGGUAGGCGGAAUUCGUGGUGUAGCGGUGAAAUGCUUAGAUAUCACGAAGAACUCCGAUUGCGAAGGC